ensembl:lncRNA
CAUGCUUUCUGUGGAUCGAAGUUGAACUGAUGGGUCUGUGAUUUCAUGGGUUCAAUUUUUUCUGCUUUUUAAAGGGAAAUUGUAAGUCAGGCAGAAUAUCCUCUUUCAUCUUACAGCCUAUGUUAGUGAAAGACUUUAUGGAAGCUCCUUCUGAUUGCAAAAGUGAAGAGCAAAUUAAGCCCAACAUAAAUGUUAUUACUCAUGGAAAACAAAUAAAGGAUUUAGCCCAUCUUCCUGUACAUUGGCGCAAUUAUUCUGUAGACACCAGCCUGGAAGCUCUCCCCAGAGGUUGUCCCGGCACUUUCAGCCAUCGCGGGACUCGAGGGCCCAGAGCCGUCAGUGAUCAGCACCACGGACAGCUCCAAAACAUUUACAAGAGGCUGCUUCUCCUCCAAGGGACUGGAAAAUCUAUUCCCAAUGGAAGAGCCAGAACCACCAGCAGUGUACACGCACGGAGCUAUUGCCAGCUCCUUCAUUCCCUUGAUCCACUCACGCUGUGUUCAAUCCUUUGCUAUGAAGGCGCGGCCCCUGAAGGUUUCUCAGUAAUUAGAACUCACAACCCAGGCUCCCCUCGGUUCUGUGAAUAG